rnacentral:rRNA from 1 species
AUUGAACGCUGGCGGCAGGCCUACCACAUGCAAGUCGAGCGAGCGGCGGACGGGUGAGUAAUGUAUGGGGACUGCCCGAUAGAGGGGGAUAACUACUGGAAACGGUGACUAAUACCGCAUACUACAGGAUAACCCAUAUGGGAUUAGCUAGUAGGUGGGGUAAAGGCUCACCUAGGCGACGAUCUCUAGCUGGUCUGAGAGGAUGAUAGGCAAGACUGGGAAUGAGACACGGCCCAGACUCCUACGGAGGCAGCAGUGGGGAAUAUUGCAAAAUGGGCGCAAGCCUGAUGCAGCAAUGCCGCGUGGAUGAAGAAGGCCUUAGGGUUGUAAAGUACUUUCAGCGGGGAGGCGUUACCCGCAGAAGAAGCACCGGCUAACUCCGUGCCAGCAGCCGCGGUAAUUC